rnacentral:rRNA from 1 species
GACGAACGCUGGCGGCGUGCUUAACACAUGCAAGUCGAACGGAAAGGCCCUGCUUUUGUGGGGUGCUCGAGUGGCGAACGGGUGAGUAACACGUGAGUAACCUGCCCUUGACUUUGGGAUAACUUCAGGAAACUGGGGCUAAUACCGGAUAGGAGCUCCUGCUGCAUGGUGGGGGUUGGAAAGUUUCGGCGGUUGGGGAUGGACUCGCGGCUUAUCAGCUUGUUGGUGGGGUAGUGGCUUACCAAGGCUUUGACGGGUAGCCGGCCUGAGAGGGUGACCGGCCACAUUGGGCCUGAGAUACGGCCCAGACUCCUACGGGAGGCAGCAGUGGGGAAUAUUGCACUAUGGGCGGAAGCCUGAUGCAGCAACGCCGCGUGCGGGAUGAUGGCCUUCGGGUUGUAUACCGCUUUCGCCUGUGACGAAGCGUGAGUGACGGUAAUGGGUAAAGAAGCACCGGCUAACUACGUG